rnacentral:lncRNA from 1 species
GAACAAACGAGCCAUUCCCAGGAAGGCUCUGGAAGGGUUUUGGCUGCGAGAAGGCAGAGCACAGAGCAUACGGAUGAGGAGCAAGGCCAGGUGGCUGGUGCUGGGAGAAGGGAGCUGAGUGUGCAGUUUGGGGACAGCGCUGAGAGUGAUGAAGGUUGAUCCUGACCCUCCUGAGGACCCGCUGCUGAACUCUCUGCCUGAGCUCUCAGUGCUGGAGCGGCUGGGCCUGCACAGGUAGGACUCCUGCCCUUUCUCCUCCUCUGGGGUUAAACUCUGCUGUGUGCCCAAGACGCUGGAAGGUUUCAAGCUGUAGGCGAAGGUGACAGCGAGCUGGUGGCUGGGUGGGUCUUGCACAGGCAGCCAUCAGAAUAGCCAAGGUAGCUAUGGGGUACACAUCCUUUCAUCUCUGGGUUGCUGGUUCAAAUCCAGCGCAGGGGCCUCCUUCUCCUCCCGCAGCAGAUGGGAGUUGCUCAUAUCCCGCAGGAGGCAGAAUCAGGCCCUGGGUUGGCUAUGACUGAGCAGUCCGCAUUUCAGGGGAGAUGUUCCCAGCAGACAGGUUGUCACGAUGGGCAUGAAUUGCAGGAGGUGGCUGGCUGGUCUGUUUCAUGGCCACUUCAGAGGGUUUUCGACUCGUUCUAGUUGGACUGAAACCCAAACCUGUGGAGACGAGACUGUGCCGGGGGUGAGAGUGGCUUUAACGGAGCAGGACGUGGAGGUAAGCUCUGCCCUUCGGCCGAUCAGCCGUGGCAAUGAGAGACCGAUGCUCCCGAGGACUGUCCCCUCUAGCUGCGUGUAUGGGCUUUCAUUACCCAGGCUGCCUCGUGCAUCUCCCCCUCCAACCCAGACUGUGUGGUGCAUUCUCAUGAGGCCAAUGGCGACAGUGAAUGGGUUAAACCAGGGUCCCUUUAUGCAGUGUGAAAUAGGGUUACAGCCUGGAACAGUCCCCUUGGGUCAGCGCCAGGAUUCGGGGCAUCAGUCUGGUAUAGGAGGCCACUGGCCAGAGUGGUGCUGAAGUUUAGCAAUGCUCACCUCUAGGUGACAGGUCAAAUCCAGCAGUGACCAGAAUUGGUUAUUACGGCCAUUUGAAGGCUGUUGAAGUUGCCCUGCCCCAGGAACCCCCUUGUUUUGCAGGCUCACCAAUUCACGAUCUCAGUAGAGACACCAAGGAUUGGAUGGUCUAUAUUUUACAGACAGGGAAAGUGAGGCACAAGAGGCGAAGCAACCUGCCCAGGGUCCCAGAGCCAGGAACAGAACCUAGAGUUCCUGACUCAGUGUCCUGGCCCAAAACCACAAGCUCAUUCUUCCGCCUUUCGUUCUUAUCUGAAUUCCCCUAGCCGUUUCAACCACAUACAGAAAUGCUUCACUUCCCCUCCUCCAAACAGUGGCCUUGACGCAUGCAUUUAAACUACUGCUGUGUUCCAGCCCAGAGCUGGCUGCAUUUUAGUCCUAAAUGAAGUGAUCCUUCCGUGCACAUAUACAGUACAUGGUAAUGCUAUCAAGUGCUCUGAGCCUUGCAAAAGCAAUGCACACACGGUCCAGGAUCCCAGCUGUGUGAGCAGUCCUAGCUGCACUGAUGUGCUGGUUAAAGGGCCCCAUUCCCUUCUCCCUUUACCCCAGUGUAAACCCACUGGUGUGAGACUACAGUUGGGCACAUGUAGAACAGAGCGGGCUGCACAAACAGCUCCCAGCACUUCCCGUUGCCUGCUGGAGCAGAGCAGG